rnacentral:lncRNA from 1 species
GACGUAGCCGCCACGAAGGCGCUAAGACGGAAAACGCUCUUAGCUAAGAGGAAAAACCUUCAAGAAAACAAGAUAAACCUUACAUGAAGCUGCUGAGCAUUUGUUUCGUAUCGUCAUUGACUCUCGAGUUGGCAAAGCUGAUGCAGGAGCAGUAUAGCGCAACCCAAGCACACCACUUCAACUGCAAAUGACAGCCCUGAGGUUACCUGAGGUUUCAAUCAACUUGCCUAAAAGGUCAACACUUCAAAAACGAAGGGUGAACAGGAGCACUGUCCAGAGCGAACGAUGCACUAGAACCCCUACCCCAGCCAGGAACCAGGAGAUAUGGAUCUACACAUGGCCCAAAGCUGGAUCCGAAGAACUCAACUGAAGCAGACUGAGGCUAAAAUACUGCACUGCCAGCUAUCAAAGAUUGAUCUACCUUCCCUUCCCGCCCAACCACUUGGGCUAGACAGUAGAGCGAAGGCCCAUUUUUUUGCAAGCCGGUUUUCAAUCCCCGACUGUCCAAGUGGUUGGGCACAAUUUCGUCCCCAUGUCCCAUCAAAAAUCCUUAUAUUGAUCCCUUCCAAAUGCUAUAUAGUUAUAAUGAUUUAGUGAUUUCUCCUAAUAAUUCCCUUCCCUUCCCUUUCCCUCCAGAAAGUAGAAAGGGUGUAAAAAGAGAGGCAAACCGCAAGGAAUACAACUAAGAAGAUUCCUGAUGAUCUAGAACUGCACGCUGGAAAGCACGACAGGCCGCAUAUAGUGUAAAUAUGCAACCACAUCCCACAGCAGCAGCUCAAACAACUAGAGCAAUGCUAUCAAGGCAAUCUUUGAAGACAACACAAAUGGUGAAACCAGCUGGGAAGAACCCUGCUCUAAACAUAAUUACACCUGAUCAACCAGGCUGUGACUCAUACGUCAGGCUGCGAGCAGCCGCAUCCAACAGCCUGGUUGAUCAGUCCGGCAACCAGGAGGCCUGGUCGACGACCGGGCCGCGGGGACGCUAAGCCCCGGAAGCACCUCAAGGUAACACUGAGAAGAGCUCCAGAGUUGCACAAAAAUGGAGACCCUAUGCCAAAUGGAUCUAAAAUUUGUGGUCCAACAUGAUCUAUUACAGUAUGUACUUAUCAUUUUGACAAUGGCAUAUGAUAGAGCAAUCAUUGGCAAACAAUUCCAUUUAAAAAUCAUAAUUACAGUAUAUGACAAUUAUUGGUGGUCCCAACAUAACAUAAUGACCAGGAUUUACACAAACUCAACCAUUCUUGACAUAAAUCCCAGUAAAUUGAGGGUACCGGUAGUAUAGUCGAGUUCGUUCUUGACUCGCAAUCUAGAAUUCUGGGUUCAAAUCCCAGGCAAGAUAGAAAUGGCGGGUGUGUAUCCUAUCACCUAAUGUACCUGUUCACCUAGCAGGAAAUAGGUACCCAAAAGUCAGUCAGCUUAUUGUGGGGUUGCAUACUGGGGAGGGUCAGUAAUUAGACCCUAGGGAUAGGGGGGAAAGGGGGGGGGGAACCUGGAUACAAACCUAACAUGUACUGUAUGUAUAACCUGGCUGCCAGUCCUCCAACACAAUGAAUUAUUAUUAUUAAUAAAUUAUUCGCAAAAAAUUCUUUUAUGAUGCGUCUUGAUUAUGGCAUAUGAUACUGAUCACGGAUAAUUUGGUAUUAAAAUUAUAGAUGUACACACACACAACUUUAUUGAAACCAAACAUUCAAAAGGAGAGAACUUUUUCACCAAGCUUGAGAGAGGAAAUGAGGAAGGGAUAGUCUCACACCCUCCCUCCCUCUUCCCCCAUGCCCAGCAUUCAGCCGACUGCUGUUGCUUUGUCACACUUUUGGCUCACUUCACGCUCAUGCCAUAAAUUUUUCAGUAAAGUGAAAAUGUAUUUUGACUUAAUUACAAUCUUCGGCACAAUAAUUACCGAAUAAUGGACAUCCAUGUUAGUCACAAGGGUUGAGUUGACGGUUCUCCAACCUCCUAUCAAUUAAAAAACUAGAAAGAUCAGACCUAUGUGACAGGUAUUGAAGUAUUAUUAGUGUGACUCCAACUGUACACACAGAAGAUGAUGCAAGGCACCAACAUGGCACA